rnacentral:rRNA from 1 species
GAUGAACGCUGGCGGCGUGCCUAAUACAUGCAAGUCGAGCGAACAGACGAGGAGCUUGCUCCUCUGACGUUAGCGGCGGACGGGUGAGUAACACGUGGAUAACCUACCUAUAAGACUGGGAUCACUUCGGGAAACCGGAGCUAAUACCGGAUAAUAUAUUGAACCGCAUGGUUCAAUAGUGAAAGACGGUUUUGCUGUCACUUAUAGAUGGAUCCGCGCCGCAUUAGCUAGUUGGUAAGGUAACGGCUUACCAAGGCGACGAUGCGUAGCCGACCUGAGAGGCGGAUCGGCCACACUGGAACUGAGACACGGUCCAGACGCCUACGGGAGGCAGCAGUAGGGAAUCUUCCGCAAUGGGCGAAAGCCUGACGGAGCAACGCCGCGUGAGUGAUGAAGGUCUUCGGAUCGUAAAACUCUGUUAUUAGGGAAGAACAAAUGUGUAAGUAACUAUGCACGUCUUGACGGUACCUAAUCAGAAAGCCACGGCUAACUACGUG